GGAGAGGUGGCAGAGCGGUUGAAUGCGGUGGACUCGAAAUCCAUUAAGGUGUCACAUCCUUCGGGGGUUCGAAUCCCCCCCUCUCCG
rnacentral:tRNA from 3 species